AUGCUGAAGCAUGCCUUUGGAUCCGCAACCGAGGGCGUCUAUCUCCGGACUAGAUCAGACGGAAAGCUCUUUAAUCUCUCUAGAUUGAGAGCGAAGACCAAAGUCCAACUGAAAUGCAUGCGGGACUUCCUCUUCGCAGAUGAUGCAGCCAUUGUUGCCCACUCUGCUGAAGACCUCCAACAACUCAUGAAUCGUUUCAGCAAGGCCUGCCAAGACUUUGGACUAACAAUCAGCCUGAAGAAAACACAAGUCAUGGGCCAGGGCGUGGACUCACCUCCCUCUAUUACCAUCUCCACACAAGAAUUGGAGGUUGUUCAUGACUUUGUGUACCUCGGCUCAACCAUCUCUGACACCCUCUCUCUAGAUGUCGAGCUGGAUAAACGCAUUGGCAAAGCAGCCACCAUGUUCUCUAGACUCACAAAGAGAGUAUGGCUCAAUAAGAAGCUGACGACACAUACGAAGAUCCAGGUUUAUAGAGCCUGUGUUCUAAGCACACUCCUGUACUGCAGUGAGUCAUGGACUCUUUGUGCAUGGCAGGAGAGGAAGCUGAACACCUUCCAUAUGCGUUGCCUCCGACGGAUUUUUGGCAUCACCUGGCAGGACAAAGUUCCAAACAGAGCAGUCCUAGAACGAGCUGGAAUUUUCAGCAUGAACACAUUACUGAAACAGCGACGUCUACGUUGGCUCGGGCACGUCGUGAGAAUGGCUGAUGGUCGGAUUCCAAAGGAUCUCCUCUAUGGAGAAUUAGUGCAGGGAAAGCGCCCCAGAGGGAGACCACAACUGCGAUACAAGGACAUCUGCAAGCGAGAUCUGAAGGCCUUAGGAAUAGACCUCAACAGAUGGGAAAACCUGACAUCUGAGCGUUCAGCCUGGAGGCAGGCGGUGCAUCACGGCCUCUCCCAAUUUGAAGAGACCCUUGCCCAGCAGGCCGAGGCAAAGAGGAAGUCACAAAAGCAGCAAAACCAGGGAGCCGGACAGGGGACAGACUGGAUUUGUCUUCAGUGUGGAAGGGACUGUCACUCUCGAAUUGGCCUUCUCAGCCACACUAGGCGCUGUUCCAAGCCCUCCAUACAGAGCACGCUACCAUAG
ensembl:lncRNA